rnacentral:rRNA from 1 species
AUUGAACGCUGGCGGCAGGCCUAACACAUGCAAGUCGAGCGAGCGGCGGACGGGUGAGUAAUGUCUGGGAAACUGCCUGAUGGAGGGGGAUAACUACUGGAAACGGUAGCUAAUACCGCAUACUAUCAGAUGUGCCCAGAUGGGAUUAGCUAGUAGGUGGGGUAAAGGCUCACCUAGGCGACGAUCCCUAGCUGGUCUGAGAGGAUGACCAGCCACACUGGGACUGAGACACGGCCCAGACUCCUAUGGGAGGCAGCAGUGGGGAAUAUUGCACAAUGGGCGCAAGCCUGAUGCAGCCAUGCCGCGUGUAUGAAGAAGGCCUUAGGGUUGUAAAGCACUUUCAGCGGGGAGGCGUUACCCGCAGAAGAAGCACCGGCUAACUCCGUGCCAGCAGCCGCGGUAAUUC